ensembl:miRNA
AUUAACUCUGGCUUUUAACUUUGAUGGCAAAGGGGUAGCUAAACAAUCUACAUCUUUGCCAUCAAAGUUAAAAGCCAGAGUUAAU